CAAGGGAUAGUUUAAUUUGAUUAGAACCCCGGUUUUGGGGACCGGGCGUGGGAGUUUGAAUCUCCUUUCCUUGA
rnacentral:tRNA from 1 species